rnacentral:rRNA from 1 species
UCUGGUUGAUCCUGCCAGUAGUCAUAUGCUUGUCUCAAAGAUUAAGCCAUGCAUGUCUAAGUAUAAAUAGUAUACAGUGAAACUGCGAAUGGCUCAUUAAAACAGUUAUAGUUUAUUUGAUAAUUGACAAUUACAUGGAUAACCGUGGUAAUUCUAGAGCUAAUACAUGCUUAAACGCCCGACUUUAUGGAAGGGUGGUAUUUAUUAGACUGAAGCCAAUAUUCCUUGUGUCUAUUGCGGUGAUUCAUAAUAACUGAUCGAAUCUCUUUUUGAGAUAAAUCAUUCAAGUUUCUGCCCUAUCAGCUUUCGAUGGUAGUGUAUUGGACUACCAUGGCAGUAACGGGUAACGAAGAAUUAGGGUUCGAUUUCGGAGAGGGAGCAUGAGAAACGGCUACCACAUCUAAGGAAGGCAGCAGGCGUGUAAAUUACCCAAUCCUGACUCAGGGAGGUAGUGACAAGAAAUAGCAAACCGGGAACCUCAUGGUUUCACGGUAUUGCAAUGAGAACAAUCUAAAACCCUUAGCGAGAAUCAAGUGGAGGACAAGUCUGGUGCCAGCACCCGCGGUAAUUCCAGCUCCACUAGCGUAUAUUAAAGUUGUUGCAGUUAAAAAGCUCGUAGUUGAACCUCUGUCUGGGGCUAGUUUUGGCUUUGGUCAGGCUAGUUCUAGGCAUCCGCCUACAGACUUAGAGGGCAUUCAGUUGUUCACUAGGAGGAGUAGGCAUUUUACUUUGAAAAAAUUAGAGUGUUUAAGGCAGGCAAUCGCCCGCAUAUAUUAGCAUGGAAUAAUAGAAUAGGACACUUUUCCAUUUCGUUGGUUAUUGGAAUCGUGUAAUGAUUAAUAGGGACAGUUGUGGGCAUUUGUAUUUAAUUGUCAGAGGUGAAAUUCUUGGAUUUAUUAAAGACAAACUAACGCGAAAGCAUUUGCCAAGGAUGUUUUCAUUAAUCAAGAACGAAAGUUAGGGGAUCAAAGACGAUCAGAUACCGUCCUAGUCUUAACUAUAAACUAUUCCGACUCAAUGUUUGACUGGCUUAUAUAACCAGUUGAGCGUUGUAUGAGAAAUCAAAGUCUUUAGGUUCUGGGGGGAGUAUGGUUGCAAAGCUGAAACUUAAAGGAAUUGACGGAAGAGCACAACCAGGAGUGGAUUCUGCGGCUUAAUUUGACUCAACACGGGGAAACUUACCAGGUUAAAACAAUAGUGGGAUUGACAGUUUGAGAGCGCUUUCUUGAUUGGUUGGGUGGUGGUGCAUGGCCGUUCUUAGUUGGUGGAGUGAUUUGUCUGCUUAAUUGCGUUAACGAACGAGACCUUAACCUGCUUACUAGACUGGCGAUCAUCAAUCGUUAGCUCUUCUUAGAGGGACUUUGGUCGUUUUAACUCCAAGGAAGUUU